UACGUAGGGGGCAAGCGUUGUCCGGAAUCAUUGGGCGUAAAGAGCGUGUAGGCGGCCCGAUAAGUCCGCUGUGAAAGUCCAGGGCUCAACCCUGGGAUGCCGGUGGAUACUGUCGGGCUCGAGUCCGGAAGAGGAGUGUGGAAUUCCUGGUGUAGCGGUGAAAUGCGCAGAUAUCAGGAGGAACACCAAGGGCGAAGGCAGCACUCUGGGACGUGACUGACGCUGAGACGCGAAAGCGUGGGAAGCAAACAGG
rnacentral:rRNA from 1 species